rnacentral:rRNA from 1 species
UACGUAGGGAGCAAGCGUUGUCCGGAUUCACUGGGUGUAAAGGGUGCGCAGGCGGGAGAGGAAGUCAGGGGUGAAAUCUCACAGCUUAACUGUGAAACUGCCUUUGAUACUGCUUUUCUUGAGUUCGGGAGAGGUUGAUGGAAUUCCAGGUGUAGCGGUGAAAUGCGUAGAUAUCUGGAAGAACACCAGUGGCGAAGGCGGUCAACUGGCCCGUAACUGACGCUCAGGCACGAAAGCGUGGGUAGCGAACAGA